GUGUCAGGGCCCCCUUCCUGUGGCCAAAACACCCACUCAGAGCCUUCUCUCAUUCUCCUGAUUUCCUGAUUUCUUGAUUUCUUAAAUUUUUCUUAAACACCUAGAAUGCAAUUCACUGCACUAAACAUGCAAGGCGAGAGGUUGAAAGAACUGCAAACACAGCCAUCGCCCUUCACUGACAUGCCAGUAAAAGAUGCAAACACAGACACUGGUAAGCAAAGUACACACAUUUUUAGUGGCCCAACAGAAGUGCAAUAAAAUGGCCAUGAAACCAUGGAGGAAAGAGAGUGAAUUCCAAAUGGUGAAUUUGAAAAACUCUAGGGAAGACAUAGAAUGUGAACUAUGGCUGGAAGAAUGGGCAGGACUGGGAAGGACUGUGAUUAGUAGAAAGGAUGAAGAAAGGCACUCCAGUGGAGGGAAAAGUAGAAGCAAAUGCACAAAAUUUGGAGGAUUUAGGUAGUGCUAGAGAGGCAAAGGAUCCGAGUUGUUUUGAAUUCUGGAUCCACCAGAGACUAGCUGUUUAAACACAGAAAAUUAAUAAACUUCUCUGAGCCCUGAUUUCCUCAUCUGCAAAAUUAAAAUGCAUUCAGUACACAUUUAUUAAGGAUUUUACAUGGGUCAAGCUCUGUGCUGCGUGUUGAGGGUACAACUGAAUUAAGAAUAUCUACCUCAGAGAGUUUAUGUUAGGAUUCAAGAAGAUGUAUGUGAAGAACUUAGCAGAGUACCUAGUAAAGAUUAGUUAUAUAAAUGGCUGGUGAUGCCUAUGGAGGCUGUGGUGGUAGUGAUGACAAUGGAGGUGGUGAGAAUUGUGGUGGUGGCAGUGGAGAAGAUGAAGUGGGCAGUGGUGGUGGUAGAGAAGGUGGUAACAUGGUUAGAGGUAAAGUGGGUGGUGGUGGAGGUGGUGGUGGUAAAGUGGCUGGUUGUGGUGAUGGAGUUGGUGAAGUGGAUGGUAGACGUAUGGUGGAGCAGAUGAAGUGGAUGGUACUGGUGUUGGUGCAGGUGGUGACGAGGAAGCUGUGAGGGUGAAUGACAGGUGCUAAGAAAGUAGAGCCUGGGGCAAGAGGUUAACAAGAGUUUUAGAUCAGAUACUGCUUGAAUAUAGAGAAAACUAUUCGAUUGCAGAAGUAAUGGCCUUAAUAUGCCAGUUAUAACUCUGAUGUGGAAUUGACUUUGGGUGGGCCAAGUUCUGGGCAGGCAGUAGGUCUUCCCAAACCACUUUCUGUCUACCCUCAAGGUCAGCUCUCUGCAAUUCAGACAUCUAUCAAUAUUGAUUUAAUCAACUCAAGACAGGCAAAUGUUAUGAAUAUUGAAUAUUGUACCCUUCUCUACUGUUUUUGGGAAACAUGGCCAGUGCUGUCUAGGGCUGUUCAAAUUCUGUGAGGGGGAGGGGAGGUGGGGGUGGUGGAAUGUAGAUGGGAGGAGUGUCAGGUGGGGGAGCUUUACAAUCCUGAACAAGUUGCCUCAAAAUGUAUUUCAAUUUGCUAAUGCCAUUUUCUGUUGACCUACCAUGUGAAAUUGGAGAUCUUUUUUCCUCUAGAAAAAAAAAAAAAAAAAAACUUAUUCCAAACAAAACAAAAUCACAGCCUGCAGGGCACAAGUUUUACAUAUUUAAGAGAAAUGAAAAAAAUAACAAAACCAUUAAUAAUACUUCUGAUCUAAUACACUCCUCUAUACACUCCUACUGCGCACAGCUCUCUCUGUCCUCAGAACAGAGGUCAUAGGCUACUGCCGACACAGUUCAAAUGCAAUCCCUGUCACAUCAUUCUCCUGCCCAAAAAUCUUUACAGCACCCAUUAAUGCCUGAUAUCCUCUAUCAUUAUAUCCCAAAGGUACCACUUCCCUCCUUCAACCUCAGUGGAGGGCAUCGUGGUCUAGCAACAAACAUGGGCAUCCUCCUCCCUUACCUGCAGCCAUUCCCUUGGUAACUUCUGUCAGCUUUAUCAAUCAAAUCCUUCUUUUGUGGGUGAUUGAGUUUUGAGUCUUGCUGUAAAUUGGCCUUCCCUACUCCAAUCUCCUUAAUAUAGAAAAGAUUGCCUUUAGAAAAAUUUCACGAUGUAGACUGGGAAAGUUAAGGUAGGGAGUAAUCCUCAAAACCUACAGAAAAGUGUCUUCAAAAUAUCCUUGGGUCAUAUCUCACAUCUUGUGAGAAGAAUUCCAGACUCCUCCCACGGCAGCCUGAGCUGGCUCUUUUUAGAGUCUAGCUCCAUCCUCCACCUUCUCUUUCCUUUACUUCUUCACUUCUGAGAGGUGUUUUGGUUUUGUUUUUUUCAAAUUCCUACGCCCAUCCAGCUCUGCAAGACAAAAGAAUGCCCCUACAAGGCUCACCUUCUUCAAACACUGGGGCAAGGGAAGUCAGAGCACUGAAUUUACAUUUAGUAAGCUUAUUCCUGAAACAGCAUGGAGGGUUCCUCAAAAAAUUAAAAAUAAAAAUACCACAUUAUCCAGUAUUUGCACUACUGGGUAUUUACCCAGAGAAAACAAAAACACUAAUUUAAAAAGAUAUCUGCAACCCCCAUGUUUAUUACAGGAUUAUUUACAAUAGCAAACCCAAACACCAUUGAUAGAUGAAUGGAUAGAGAAGAUGUGGUAUAUAUACACACAAUUGAAUGAUUACUCAGCCAUAAAAAAAGAAUGAAAUCCUGUCGUUUGCAACAACAUGGAUGGACUUUGAGGAUGUUAUGCUAAGAGAAGUAAGUCAGAGAAAGACAAAUACUAUAUAUGAUUUCACUUACAUGCAGAAUCUAAAGAACAAAAUACAUGAACAAAAUAAACAAAAAGCAGAAUUAGACCUAUAAAUACAGAGAACAAACUGGCGGUUGCUAGAGAGGAGGGGGUGGGAGAAUGGGAAGUACAAGCUUCCAGGUAUGGAGUGAAUAAGUCACAGGGAUAAAGGUACAGCACAGGGAAUAGAGUCAGUGGUAUUGCAAUAGGUUUGUGUGGUAACAGAUGGUAGCUACACGUGUGAUGAGCUUACCUAAGAUAUAAAGUUCCUAAAAAAAAAAAAAAAAAAAAAAAAAAA
rnacentral:lncRNA from 1 species